GACAGAGGGUGCAAACGUUGUUCGGAAUUACUGGGCGUAAAGCGCGUGUAGGCUGCUCUGCAAGUCGGAUGUGAAAGCCCUGGGCUCAACCUAGGAAGUGCAUUCGAAACUGCAGAGCUGGAGUCCUGGAGAGGAAGGCGGAAUUCUCGGUGUAGAGGUGAAAUUCGUAGAUAUUGGGAAGAACACCGGUGGCGAAGGCGGCGCUCUGGACCGAGACUGACGCUGAGGCGCGAAAGCGUGGGGAGCGAACAGG
rnacentral:rRNA from 1 species